AUGAAAACAUUAUAUAAAGUGGCAUUGUUUAAAGUGGCUAGUGAUACAUCUAAUUACAUCAAGAUGGCAAGAUGCAGCAGAUGGUAUGGCGUACAGUAUAUACAUAUGAGAUGAAUAAUGUAGGUUAAGUAAACAUUAUCUAAUAUAAAUAAUAUAAAGUGGCAAGUGAUAAAUUGAUUACAUCAAUUUUUCCAUUAUUAAAGUGGCUUGAGUUGAGUCAGUAUGUUGGCAGCAGCCACUCAAUGUUAGUGAUGGCUGUUUAACAGUCUGAUGGCCUUGAGAUAGAAGCUGUUUUUCAGUCUCUCGGUUCCAGCUUUGAUGCACCUGUACUGACCUCGCCUUCUGGAUGUUAGCGGGGUGAACAGGCAGUGCCUCGGGUGGUUGCUGUCCUUGAUGAUCUUUUUGGCCUUCCUGUGACAUCGGGUGGUGUAGGUGUCCUGGAGGGCAGGUAGUUUGCUGAAGUCCACGAUCAUCUCUUUUGUUUUGUUGACAUUGAGUGCGAGGUUAUUUUCCUGACACCACACUCCGAGGGCCCUCACCUCCUCCCUGUAGGCCAUCUCGUCGUUGUUGGUAAUCAAGCCUACCACUGUAGUGUCGUCUGCAAACUUGAUGAUUGAGUUGGAGGCGUGCAUGGCCACGCAGUCAUGGGUGAACAGGGAGUACAGAAGAGGGCUGAGAACGCACCCUUUUGGGGACCCAGUGUUGAGGAUCAGCGGGGUGGAGAUGUUGUUACCUACCCUCACCACCUGGGGGCGGCCCGUCAGGAAGUCCAUGACCCAGUUGCACAGGGUGGGGUCGAGACCCAGGGUCUCGAGUUUAAUGACGAGUUUGGAGGGUACUAUGGUGUUAAAUGCUGAGCUGUAAUCGAUGAACAGCAUUCUUACAUAGGUAUUCCUCUUGUCCAGAUGGGUUAGGGCAGUUUGCAGUGUGAUGGCGAUUGCAUCGUCUGUGGACCUAUUGGGUCGGUAAGCAAAUUGGAGUGGGUCUAGGGUGUCAGGUAGGGUGGAGGUGAUAUGGUCCUUGACUAGUCUCUCAAAGCACUUCAUGAUGACGGAAGUGAGUACAUUAUGAUCCAUUAAUUCAUUACACUCCCUCCUCUGUCAAUGCCAUUGGAAUCCAAAUUUGCGCUGCCGGGUCAACAGUUUCAAGCUACAUUCAGUGUGUUCCAAAAAAUCGCAACCCAGUAAGCAAAAAAAUAAAUAAUUCCCUUACAGGAACUGGCACAUUCUUAAUGUAAAGCACCUGUGGGACAAUCAAUCUGUUUUGCAUAAAUACAAAUAGCCAUGUCUAUGAAGUAAUAACCAGUUUCCUGAUAGCGAUAGAAUUAGGCUUACAAGUGUUUUAAUAAGGUGUUUGCCAAAACACCACGCAGGGAGAACUUCCAAUAAGUACAUCGUUAGAGCAUGUGUCGAUACUGACUGGAUCAAAAGAAAGGCAACGCUGCCCUCAGAUCAGCUUUCUCCAUUCAACUCUUACCUUUAACAUUAGAUACUGACCACAGAUCAGGUCCUAGAGAGAAAUUAUCACCUAUGCCUGCGAAUAUUGAGGAGGCUUAUUCUAAUGCUAAGGCUAUCCACUAAAUCAAAUAUUUGGCACAUCAUUGUGCAUAUGUUGUUAGGUCUACACAUCAUGAAAUGUAGGCAAUAAUUACAGAGAGUAGCCUACAAUUAGCAUUGAAAAAUAAAGCACAAAUACAUCUUGACAAGUUUUCAACCCCCUGAGUCAAUACAUGUUAGAAUCAUCUUUGGCAGUGAUGUGUCUUUCUGGGUUAUUGUCCUGCUGAAAGGUGAAUUCAUCUCCCAGUGUCUGUUGGAAAGCAGACUGAACCAGAUUUUCCUCUAGGAUUUUUCCUGUGUUUAGCUCUAUUCCAUUUAUUUUUAUCAAUUUUUUUUUUCCCUAGUUCUUUCCGAUGACAAGCCUACCCAUAACAUUACCACCACCGUGCUUGAAAAUAUAAAGAUUGGUUCUCUGUGAUGUGUUGUGUUGGAUGUGCACCAAUGACGCUUUGUAUUCAGGACAUAAGUAGUACUACGCGAUUGGACAAGGACUACUGCCAAUAGCCAAUGAGCAUUCAACAUGUGAGACCAAAAAAACAAUGAUGGUGAAGAGGAAAGCAACAACAACAUGCUCCGUGUGGACCAAGGUGAUGGGAG
rnacentral:lncRNA from 1 species